AGAUGCAGAACCCAUUGAGCUGUUGGCUGAACCUUGUGCAAUCAACAGCUUUGACAUUGAUCGGGAAAACCCCUCGGACGUGAUCUGUAGUUUGGAAUGGGAAUCUAUAGUCUUGUUAACAAGGCCAUGAUACCAAGAAAUGGAAUUGAAGGUUCUGAGAUAAAUUCUCCUCCAUUUCUCUUUCGAAAGAGCUCUCAUUUCCCACAAUUACUAGGCUCUUAAAACUCAAAUCAUGACAAUAGAGGAUGAAGGGAGCACUUCACUUUUUUCUAUAUUGAUUAAGCAUGUGUGUGACUGACUUGUAGGCACUAACAUGAUGAUAUGUAGUUGCCUUUCCAGCAUAUGUAGCAUGACAAGUUGUCUUGUACGGCAGGAAAGCAGCUUGGUUUGCCUAAAAUGAGAGAGAGAGAGAGAGAGAGCUUGUUAUGUGACUUUCAAUGUCUCUCUGUACAGGGCUGAUUUUAUGGUAUUUUGUUCAUUCUCA